GCUAAGGUAGCAUAAUCAAUUGUUUUUUAAUUGGAGGCUGGAAUGAAAGGUUAAACAGAUUAAGGUGGUUUGUGAGGUUUAGCUAAUAAGUUAAAGUCAAGGUAAGAAUUCUUUGAUUUUCUAGGGGACGAUAAGACCCUAGAAGCUUUAAAAAAAAAAUUUUUUUAGUCAGCAGAUAAAUUUUUUACUGGGGCGGUGUUAGUGCUUUAACUACUAAUAGUAAAGGUUGGUCCUUAAUAUAAAGAUAAUUCGGUGGAGUUACUCUAGGGGUAA
rnacentral:rRNA from 1 species